rnacentral:tRNA from 5 species
AGGGGUAUAGCUCAGUUGGUAGAGCGUCGGUCUCCAAAACCGAAGGUCCACGGUUCGAGCCCGUGUGCCCCUGCCA